rnacentral:rRNA from 1 species
AAAAAUAUUAAAAAUUAGGUAGUAACGGAGUUUCUGAAACCUAAAGGACUUGGCGGUAUUUUAAAUAAUUGGAGGAACUUGUUAUUUAAUUGAAGUUACACAACAUAUCUUUCCUUAUUUUUGCUUGUAUAUCAUUGUUUUAAGAUAACAUUUUCUAAUAUAGUCUAAAUCAAGUUUGUUCAAAAAAUCAAAUCAAGGCGCAGCAUAAUAAGGUUAUAAUGAGUUACAAUGAAACUUAUUCAAAACGGAAAUAAAAAGUAAAAUAUAUUGAAGGUGGAUUCAAAAAUAAUAAAAAAUCAAAAAGUUUUUAUGAAUAAUAAUUUAAAAUAUGC